rnacentral:lncRNA from 1 species
UAGAGGAGAAGAAAAGAAGAAGAACAAAGAAUUUUUGUGGUGGUCGACGACAGUGGUGCGGUAGAGGUGUGGUGGCAGCGGUGGUAAGGUGGUGGUUUGGUGGCUUUUAGAGGUGGUGGAGUGGAGGAGAAAUUAGAAGAAAAGGUGGUUUAGGUGGUGAAAAUAAAAAAAUAAGAGAAAAGGGAGGAGCAAGAAGGAGGGGAGGCUAAAGGGAGAGAAGGAGAGCAAAUAUGAGAAAAAAAUAAAAAAAAAUGGAAGAGUGUCUAGGUGCAUGGCAGGUAGUCAAAGGGGGAGAAAGGUAGGUUUGGGGACAAGGGGAGUGAAAAGUUGAACAUGGGGGGAUUAAAUGAGUGAAAAAGGAAACGUAAAAGGCAUGUUGACCAAGCAAAAGGGGAAAGAAGUCUUCCCUAUUUGGCAACUAAAGGGAUUGCACAUGAGGGGUUUGACCCACUUGAACUGUCAAAAAAAAUAAAUAAAAAGUGGUAUUGUGGGGGCUUG